rnacentral:sRNA from 1 species
GGGUGUUAAAAAUUUGAUUAAAAUAUUUCAGUGGUUUGAAUAUACAUGAACUGGUACUUGUUUUAGGUAGUAUAGAAAAGGGUUUUUUUCAAUGUUGUGAGAUUUUAUAUGAAUAGUCUUUAAAUUCUUGUAAAUAAUGUUGACAUCCCUUUGCCAAAGUGUUAUAAACAUUGAUUAUCAUUACUAACUUAUUGAUUGAUAUUACCACUGAUGUUCCUUUUAUCAAUUGCAAACAUGCUAUAUAUUGAAUUAUGUAUCAACCAGUGCUUAAUUCUACAGUUUCUAGUCCCAUGUUAAACGCUGAUUGAAUUAUAUCUGAUAUGGUUUUUAUGAUCAUGACAAUGUGCUCUAUUUUAAAUUUAUUUUAUUCUUUGACCAAUUUCGAUGGUUUUCAUUUCUUGCAAUAGUGCUACACCUUGGUUUUCAUGGUUUUGUUUUCUGUCUAGAAGUUUUGUUGUAAUAUUUGAUAAGAAAUAAGACCUGUUGAUUUAAAACAGGUUUAAAUUGCAAUUGUUUCCUCUUCUUUAAAUGUUUCUUGCUUAGAAAUCUGUGUAUAACAUUUGUAUUUUUAGGGUUAUGAGAACUGCUCUGUACAAGCAGAUUACUAGUAAUGUGAAAUAUACUUUAAAUAUGGAUAUCUCCAGUUCUUGAAAAUUUACAUGUACCUUAAUUGAAUCGAAAUGCAGAUUGUGCAUUUAUGGUUAUUAGUACAAGAGUACCGGUAAUCACUAAUAAAUUGUUUUUUGUAAAAGCAUUCCAAGAAUGUCAUGCCAUGAUUAUUUAAGUCUUAUUUAAAUUGUCUAUUAAAAAUUAUAUACCGUUAUAUAGAUGUAUGUUCAAUGUUCACUGUAGGUGAAUUUUUGCCUAUCUGUCUGUCUGUAUUUAUAUUGGAAGUAUUGUGUACUCCAUGUUAUUCCUUAACCAACAAAGUUCAUGUAAUCAAGGUUUGAUCAUUAAGUUCUUGCCAGUAUGAUAUAUGAUGAAUACCUGUGAAGAUAAUGCAUAUUGAAUUUUACUUGUUUGAUAAAAUAAUGGUUAUAUUGAAAGAAGAAUGUACCGUUAAUGUGUGUGCAGUAUUACUAGCAAUCUUCUCACCCUGAGAUUAAUCUGCAAGAAUCUCCUUUCUCUGUGAUGAAAUGAUGCUUCUUGUGGCUGUAUUUGUUAUGUACCCUCCCUCUCCUCAUGUAACAGUCUAAUGUCUGAGAGUCCUUAGCUUGUUUUGGUCACUUAGGUAACUUUAUAUAUAUGCAUCUUCGCUAGCCAAGAAUUAAUAAACCACUCACAUCUCUACACAAGAGGAGCAGAGUGGAUUGUAAACCGUUGGUUAGUGAAGAUGAAUGUAUUCUUUUCCAAAUAUCUUUCUUAAGUGACUAAAACAGGUUCUAUAUUCUUGAGUCUUAAAUUUAUCUUUUAUUUAUUACACUGAAGUUGCAGUAGGACUGCAGUUCUUUUAAAAAUAGAAUUGCUGGUUUUUGCUGGAGGUCCAUAGCUAUGUACAUUUUUUUGUAAACAAUAAAUUGUUUUGAGAAUUCUGUGAUGUUUUGUUGAUUUGGAAUAUGAUAUAUGUCAAAUAGAACAAGUAAUCGCCAUUGUUUGACUGUAUAAAGUUUCCAAGUCCAAGUGUGUCAAAUUGAAGCCAAUGCAGUUAUAUUGUUAUUUCUAUUUAUUGCUGUUAAAUAAAAUUCUGUGGAAAC